rnacentral:rRNA from 1 species
GACGUAGGGUGCGAGCGUUGUCCGGAUUUAUUGGGCGUAAAGAGCUCGUAGGCGACUCGUCGCGUCUGCCGUGAAAACCCGCAGCUCAACUGCAGGCUUGCGGUCGAUACGGGCAGGCUGGAGUUCGGUAGGGGAGACUGGAAUUCCUGGUGUAGCGGUGAAAUGCGUAGAUAUCGCUUGGAACGCCGAAGGUGAAAACAGGUCGACUGGGGAUGUGCCGA